rnacentral:rRNA from 1 species
GACGAACGCUGGCGGCGUGCUUAACACAUGCAAGUCGAACGGAAAGGCCCCGUUUGUGGGGUACGCGAGAGGCGAAAGGGUGAGUAAAACGCGAGUGAAAUGCCCUCUAGACUGGGGUAAAUUCUGGAAACAGGGGGUAAUAUAGGAGAGAGGCUCCUCUGCCGUGGGGGGGGGGGGGGAGAUUUGGCGGGGGUGGGGGGUGACGCGGCGUUUCUCAGCUUGUUGGGGGGGGAGUGGCUUAACAAGGUUUUGGCGGGUAGGCGGCCUGAGGGGGUGAGCGGGCACAUUUGGACUGGGAUACGGCCCAGACUCCUACGGGAGGCAACCGGUGGGAAUAUUUCACAAUGGGUGGGAGCCUGAUGCAGCAACCCCGGGUGCGGGAUUACGGCCUUCGGGUUGUAAACCGCUUUCGCUCAUUACGAAGCUUUGUGUGACGGUAGUGGGUAAAGAAGCACCGGCUAACUACGUG